rnacentral:rRNA from 1 species
UACGGGGGGGCAAGCGUUGUUCGGAAUUACUGGGCGUAAAGGGCUCGUAGGCGGCCAACUAAGUCAGACGUGAAAUCCCUCGGCUUAACCGGGGAACUGCGUCUGAUACUGGAUGGCUUGAGGUUGGGAGAGGGAUGCGGAAUUCCAGGUGUAGCGGUGAAAUGCGUAGAUAUCGUAAGGAAGACCAGUGGCGAAGGCGAAUCUCUGGACAGUUACUGACACUGAGGCACGAAGGCCAGGGGAGCAAACGGG